GUUUUCCUUUGGAUGUAGAAAUCAGCACCUCAGUGAAUUGUGGACAUUAAAAGAAUUCAAAGGGAGAGGUGGUUACAGUAACUGCAUGAUUUAGAGAUAGAAGUUAAUCUUCAAACUAUCACAAUUAGAUCGAAAAUUAGAUAAUAAUUACGAGAUAACAAUAAAAAAUGAAUACAAUGGGCACGUUCAGCCGAAUUCAGCCCUUACACUGUGUCCAGCGCCCAAUUUCAGGAGAUUAAAUUGGCUGAAUGCAUUGUUAGUAAUACCGUUCCGGAAGGACUGCCAGACGAUUGGAACUUUUAACGCCCGCUAAUCAGAUUCUUGCAAGACACCUCUAGCGUAAUAUUUGAAAGCUUUUGCAGGUACAUUGUCACAGGACUUUUCUACACACGCACGUGACCACGAAAUCUGUCAACAGAUAUUGCCGCACCUUAAAAAGGCACUCUCGCAUUUUUUUUUGUAUUCAACCCUUAAGAAAUGUCUACUUUAAGCUUUGAAACAUUGAGGUUAAAAUAAAAAGUAAUAUGUA